UUGUGGUAAAAAAUUAAUUAUGUUUGACUUAAAUAAAUGUGGAUGAAUUUCAUUGGUGCCACAUCAUCAUAGGGCACCUACCCUCAAUUUAUGUGAGGGUUAAUUAGAAAAAACCAAAAUGCAAUUAUCUAAUAAUAAUAGUAGUGACACAAUAAUAAUAUACAUAGAUCUAUCCACAGUUAACAACUAGGAUGGGUCAAAUUACCCAAUUUUGUGUGAUGGGUAGUUAAGAAUUUGCCCUGCCUAUAACGUUCUAAUGCUAAAAUCUAGACACGUGUCUUGGACUGCAUGUCUUCAAAUAUUUGAGCUUGACAGCUGUCGAAGUUGAUCUAGGCAACGAAACAAUCCUUAAAAUUUUGCUAAGUCCACAAAGCAAAGCCUUCCCGUGCAAUGUACGUUUCCUGCAUGACACAUACAAAGAAAAUAUCGAGAUCGACAAGGACUGCCAUAUGUCGAGUUCGACAGAUACAGGGAAGCAUUGUCGAGUUCGACAGGCACAACAAGGUGUCGAGUUUGACAGAUUCAACAAUACUGUCGAACUAUUUCCCUUAAUUGUACAAUGAUAAAAGUUAAGAAAACUUUCAAAAGAAUCAACACACUCUUUAAUAAAAUUUAUUGCAGAAUCUCCAUGAAUCUGAGCCUGACGAAAAUACAGGCUAACACGGUGAGGUCUGUUUCUCCGUUUCUACAACGGUGAGAUUUGUUUCUCUAUUUCUAAAACGACGGUGGAAAUCACGAAGAAGCACGGUGGAAAUUUGUCUUUUCCAUAAUCACAACACUCAUCUUGUUUCUAGUAGUGACAUUAUCAAGAAAAUAUGCUUACAAUAUUCUGUUUCUCUUACGUUAAAAUAAAAAAAUUAUGUUUCUCUCUCUCUUUUUUUUUU
rnacentral:lncRNA from 1 species